AAUCCAUAGGUUAAUGAGGCGAACCGGGGGAACUGAAACAUCUAAGUACCCCGAGGAAAAGAAAUCAACCGAGAUUCCCCCAGUAGCGGCGAGCGAACGGGGAGGAGCCCAGAGCCUGAAUCAGCAUGUGUGUUAGUGGAAGCGUCUGGAAAGGCGCGCGAUACAGGGUGACAGCCCCGUACACAAAAGCGCAUGUGCUGUGAGCUCGAUGAGUAGGGCGGGACACGUGGUAUCCUGUCUGAAUAUGGGGGGACCAUCCUCCAAGGCUAAAUACUCCUGACUGACCGAUAGUGAACCAGUACCGUGAGGGAAAGGCGAAAAGAACCCCGGCGAGGGGAGUGAAAAAGAACCUGAAACCGUGUACGUACAAGCAGUGGGAGCACAGGUUUACCUGUGUGACUGCGUACCUUUUGUAUAAUGGGUCAGCGACUUAUAUUCUGUAGCAAGGUUAACCGAAUAGGGGAGCCGGAGGGAAACCGAGUCUUAAUUGGGCGUUAAGUUGCAGGGUAUAGACCCGAAACCCGGUGAUCUAGCCAUGGGCAGGUUGAAGGUUGGGUAACACUAACUGGAGGACCGAACCGACUAAUGUUGAAAAAUUAGCGGAUGACCUGUGGCUGGGGGUGAAAGGCCAAUCAAACCGGGAGAUAGCUGGUUCUCCCCGAAAGCUAUUUAGGUAGCGCCUCGUGAACUCAUCUC
rnacentral:rRNA from 1 species